CACGUAGGGCGCGAGCGUUGUCCGGAAUUAUUGGGCGUAAAGAGCUCGUAGGCGGCCUGUUGCGUCCGCUGUGAAAGCCCGGGGCUUAACCCCGGGUCGGCAGUGGAUACGGGCAGGCUAGAGUGCGGUAGGGGAGACUGGAAUUCCUGGUGUAGCGGUGAAAUGCGCAGAUAUCAGGAGGAACACCGGUGGCGAAGGCGGGUCUCUGGGCCGUAACUGACGCUGAGGAGCGAAAGCAUGGGGAGCGAACAGG
rnacentral:rRNA from 1 species